rnacentral:tRNA from 1 species
GUCCCCAUCGUCUAGCGGCCAAGGACGCCGGCCCUCAAGUCGGAAACGGAGAUUCGAAUCCUUCUGGGGACACCA